rnacentral:rRNA from 1 species
AGUGAACGCUGGCGGUAGGCCUAACACAUGCAAGUCGAACGGCAGCACAGUAAGAGCUUGCUCUUACGGGUGGCGAGUGGCGGACGGGUGAGGAAUACAUCGGAAUCUACUUUUUCGUGGGGGAUAACGUAGGGAAACUUACGCUAAUACCGCAUACGACCUACGGGUGAAAGCAGGGGAUCUUCGGACCUUGCGCGAUUGAAUGAGCCGAUGUCGGAUUAGCUAGUUGGCGGGGUAAAGGCCCACCAAGGCGACGAUGCGUAGCUGGUCUGAGAGGAUGAUAGGCCACAGUGGAACAGAUACGCGGACCAGAGUCCUACGGGAGGCAGCAGUAGGGGAUAGUCCGAAAUGGGCGAAAGCCUGACGGAGCAACGGCGGGUGAGGAAUGAAGGCCUUCGGAUCGUAAAACUCUGUUAUUAGGGAAGAAGAAAUGUGUAAGUAACUAUGCACGUCUUGACGGUACCUAAUAAGAAAGCCACGGCUGACUACGU